AACGAACGCUGGCGGCAUGCCUAACACAUGCAAGUCGAACGAAGCCUUCGGGCUUAGUGGCGCACGGGUGCGUAACGCGUGGGAAUCUGCCCUUGGGUUCGGAAUAACAGUUAGAAAUGACUGCUAAUACCGAAUGAUGUCUUCGGACCAAAGAUUUAUCGCCCAAGGAUGAGCCCGCGUCGGAUUAGCUAGUUGGUGAGGUAAAGGCUCACCAAGGCGACGAUCCGUAGCUGGUCUGAGAGGAUGAUCAGCCACACUGGGACUGAGACACGGCCCAGACUCCUACGGGAGGCAGCAGUGGGGAAUAUUGGACAAUGGGCGAAAGCCUGAUCCAGCAAUGCCGCGUGAGUGAUGAAGGCCUUAGGGUUGUAAAGCUCUUUUACCCGGGAUGAUAGUGACAGUACCGGGAGAAUAAGCCCCGGCUAACUCCGUGCCAGCAGCCGCGGUAA
rnacentral:rRNA from 1 species